AACGAACGCUGGCGGCAUGCCUAACACAUGCAAGUCGAACGAGACCUUCGGGUCUAGUGGCGCACGGGUGCGUAACGCGUGGGAAUCUGCCCUUCGGUUGGGAAUAACUGAGAGAAAUUUCAGCUAAUACCUUAUAAUGUCUUCGGACCAAAGAUUUAUCGCCGAGGGAUGAGCCCGCGUAGGAUUAGGUAGUUGGUGGGGUAAUGGCCUACCAAGCCGACGAUCCUUAGCUGGUCUGAGAGGAUGAUCAGCCACACUGUGACUGAGACACGGCCCAGACUCCUACGGGAGGCAGCAGUGGGGAAUAUUGGACAAUGGGCGAAGUCCUAAUCCAGCAAUGCCGCGUGAGUGAUGAAGGCCUUAGGGUUGUAAAGCUCUUUUACCCGGGAUGAUAAUGACAGUACCGGGAGAAUAAGCUCCGGCUAACUCCGUGCCAGCAGCCGCGGUAACAC
rnacentral:rRNA from 1 species